CAGUCGCCGCGGGAAUACGGAGGGUGCGAGCGUUAAUCGGAUUUACUGGGCGUAAAGCGUGCGUAGGCGGCUUUUUAAGUCGGAUGUGAAAUCCCUGAGCUUAACUUAGGAAUUGCAUUCGAUACUGGGAAGCUAGAGUAUGGGAGAGGAUGGUAGAAUUCCAGGUGUAGCGGUGAAAUGCGUAGAGAUCUGGAGGAAUACCGAUGGCGAAGGCAGCCAUCUGGCCUAAUACUGACGCUGAGGUACGAAGGCAUGGGGAGCAAACAGGAUUAGAUACCCCAGUAGUCCCUGUCUCUUAUAC
rnacentral:rRNA from 1 species